rnacentral:lncRNA from 1 species
AAAAACCAGUCAGGCAUGGCGGCGCACGCCCGCAAUCCCACACUGCAACCUCCGACUCCCUGGUUAAAGCGAUUCUCCUGCCUCAGCCUCCCGAGUAGCUGGGAUUAUAGGUGCACGCCACCACGCCCAGCUAAUUUUUGUAUUUUUAGUAGAGAUGGGGUUUCACCAUGUUGGCCAGAAAUGUUGCAAAAUGUGUUAUAUUUAUAAUCUACUUCAAACUGACCGAGCUGAAAAAUAUAUAUCAAAUAAUAGCAAAGUGCUAUCAACAUUUGAUUAUACAGGUUUUCACUGUACUAUCUGCU